rnacentral:rRNA from 1 species
CUACGGGAGGCAGCAGUGAGGAGUAUUGCACAAUGGGGGGAACCCUGAUGCAGCAACGCCGCGUGGAGGAUGACGCAUUUCGGUGUGUAAACUCCUUUUAUAUGUCAAGAAAAUGACGGUAGCAUAUGAAUAAGCGCCGGCUAACUCCGUGCCAGCAGCCGCGGUAAUACGGAGGGCGCAAGCGUUACUCGGAAUCACUGGGCGUAAAGGACGCGUAGGCGGGUUGAAAAGUCAGGUGUGAAAGCCUACAGCUUAACUGUAGAACUGCACUUGAAACUCUCAAUCUAGAGUAUGGGAGGGGCAGAUGGAAUUAGUGGUGUAGGGGUAACAUCCGUAGAUAUCACUAGGAAUACCUAAAGCGAAGGCGAUCUGCUGGAACAUUACUGACGCUAAGGCGUGAAAGCGUGGGGAGCAAACAGGAUUAGAUACCCGUGUAGUC